UCGGCGCUAACCCUGCCUUCACCCUCACCCUCACCCUCACGUAAUCCCUUCAAGCAAUCCACCGGAAACUGGAACUCCCAGUUUCCCAUCCCACUGCCAAACAUAUUGUGUCAUUUCAUGAUAAAUUACGCCGCCUGUAAUCUCAUCCUUCACAUUACCACCUGAGAAACUUCCUAUAUAUGUACUGCGCGCUAGCUGAUGUAAAUUUGAUUGCCUGCAGUGCCAGAACCACCGUCUAUGUCGUCGAGAUGUCGAUGAAUAAGUUCUCUACAUCGAUGCUAGCUAGCUCUUUCUGUCUGACGGGGUAUUUUGUUGGAAGAUCCGCCAAUAUAUAUAUAUAUAUGAAAUCUGCAUGUGCGUGGCGGUGGCUGCGGUUUGUUUGGUGUAGUCUAGG
rnacentral:lncRNA from 1 species